rnacentral:rRNA from 1 species
AGAGUUUGAUCCUGGCUCAGGAUGAACGCUGGCGGCGUGCUUAACACAUGCAAGUCGAACGAAGCAACAGAGACAGAAACCUUCGGGCGGAGGACUUUGUUGACUGAGUGGCGGACGGGUGAGUAACGCGUGGGUAACCUGCCUUACACAGGGGGAUAACAGUUAGAAAUGACUGCUAAUACCGCAUAAGACCACAGCACCACAUGGUGCAGGGGUAAAAACUGAGGUGGUGUAAGAUGGGCCCGCGUCUGAUUAGCUAGUUGGUGGGGUAAGAGCCCACCAAGGCGACGAUCAGUAGCCGACCUGAGAGGGUGACCGGCCACAUUGGGACUGAGACACGGCCCAAAUCCUACGGGAGCA